UAUCAGCAAUACAACAGUGGCACCGGUAACUACUACAUUCAACACAGCGACUGGAAGUCGUACCACUACAAGUACUGCUGCUACUAUUAGCCAAUCACUGUCGACUCUCAAGAAACCGACCACAUCCAUAGCAGCUGCACAACCAUCAAUGAGAGGGAGGUAUUUAUUUUCUGUUUUUAGUAUUGCACCAGAAGCCAAUGGUACUCAGGGAAAAGGUCACUCCAGUGCUACUCCAGUGGCAAAGAAGAGGCCAGCCAACAGCACCUUACAAGCAAGCAGCAAGCGUCCUAAAAAGGCAGCAGAAUAUUACAAUGAAGAUAUUUUUGUCAUUAAGAGCAGCCUGGCAAAAUAUAAAUGCAUUCAUUGCAAAAAAUUACCAAAGAGCUUCUUUCGAUGCAAGUGUGGCAGAAAGAAUGAAAAACAAGAAGUUGGAAAGGGUAGAGCAAGAUUUGAAGACAACACUGGUCUAUCUUGUGGUGACUGCACACACCAGGCUUGCAUUGACUGUGAGCGAAGCGACCAGUACGAACCUGAUACAAUCACUAACGGCAACAUACGCAUGCUAACGGUGUUCUGUGAAAACAAAUGUGGAAAAAACAUAAUUCUCACUAACCGAGAAAACAGAAGCCACAUUAAAAACGAGUGCAAAUUUCGAAAGAAGCUAUGUAAAUAUGCGUGGGCAGGUUGCAAAAUCGAGGGAGCUGGAGAUGAACAUGAGAGAGAAGUUGGAGUACAUGUCCUAGCUGCUAUUGACAAACUACACAAGCGUAUUAAAAAGAUCGAAGCUAAGUUAAACCCUGGACCACAAACGACACGAGAGCUAUAAACUCUCAACUGUCAUACGCAUGUUAAUUAUGAAUGAACAGUAAUAUUAUUUAUACUAAUUUGGA